rnacentral:rRNA from 1 species
GAUGAACGCUAGCUACAGGCUUAACACAUGCAAGUCGAGGGGAAACGACAUCGAAAGCUUGCUUUUGAUGGGCGUCGACCGGCGCACGGGUGAGUAACGCGUAUCCAACCUGCCUAUCACUUGGGAAUAACCUUGCGAAAGUAAGACUAAUACCCAAUGAUAUCCAUAGAAGACAUCUGAAAUGGAUUAAAGAUUUAUCGGUGAUGGAUGGGGAUGCGUCUGAUUAGCUUGUUGGCGGGGUAACGGCCCACCAAGGCGACGAUCAGUAGGGGUUCUGAGAGGAAGGUCCCCCACAUUGGAACUGAGACACGGUCCAAACUCCUACGGGAGGCAGCAGUGAGGAAUAUUGGUCAAUGGGCGGAAGCCUGAACCAGCCAAGUAGCGUGCAGGACGACGGCCCUAUGGGUUGUAAACUGCUUUUAUAUGGGGAUAAAGUGAGCCACGUGUGGCUUAUUGCAGGUACCGUAUGAAUAAGGACCGGCUAA